rnacentral:rRNA from 1 species
UGCCAGCAGCCGCGGUAAUACGGAGGGUGCAAGCGUUGUUCGGAAUUAUUGGGCGUAAAGCGCGUGUAGGCGGUUCGUUAAGUCAGAAGUGAAAUUUCGGGGCUCAACCUCGGACUUGCUUUUGAAACUGGUAGACUAGAGAAUGGUAGAGGAAAGUGGAAUUCCCAGUGUAGAGGUGAAAUUCGUAGAUAUUGGGAGGAACACCAGUGGCGAAGGCGGCUUUCUGGGCCAUUUCUGACGCUGAGGCGCGAAAACGUGGGGAGCAAACAGGAUUAGAUA